rnacentral:lncRNA from 1 species
UGAAUUCUUUGCUUAUUAAAGAAUCUACCUCAUAUCAGACAUUGUAGAUUUCCUUUCUGCACUGAACUUUUUUAUAGAUUACUAUUUUAAUAAUUCACAUGUACCAUUUUUUGAUUAUUCAUGAUGGAAAUUCAAAACAAAAAAGUUUACAAUAAUUCUUAUGGGAUAGUAAAACAUUUGAUGUUAUGUUUAAUUAACUGAAUUAAAGACUUGCAUUCUUAUUCCAUUUAUUACAGCCUCUGCCCCUAUUUUUUGCUUUAAUGACAAGGAAGACAACAGAGGCAUAUUAGCUGUCAUGGCCUAUUUGAAAUCAACUUUCAAUCUCUCACCUGGAAGCUUCAUCACUGACAGUGAAAUUCCGCUCGUCAAUUCCUUAAUUAUAACUUUUCCUGAUACCCCUCGGUCUAAUUGUUAUUUUCAUUACACGCAGGGAGUCACCCUUGAAACUUUGAAACUGGGUUUGAGACCGCUCGCAGUGGAAGGAAUGGGGCGAAAAAUUUUUGGUUGCCUCCUAGCUAUUCCUCUUCUCCCGGCCGAUAAAAUUUGGGAGAGAGUAAGGAGCAUGAAAGCUCUUAUUGAGAAAUUUGACAAAGGAGACUUUGAAGAAGAAAAAGAUAAUGAGGAUGCAGAUGAACCAGGGAACAGUGCAGAAGACAACGAAACAGAUGUUGGAAUUGAAGUUUUAGAAGAAAGAGUUAUACAGGUAGCAGAAGCAUUGAUUGCCCAAGAGGAAGCUGCAAGUAGUGAAAAUGGGGCUAGAGGUACAGAAGAGGAAGCAGCAACUAGUAAAGAUGGAGCUAGAGGUACAGAAGAGGAAGCAGCAACUAGUGAAGAUGGAGCUAAAGGUACAGAAGGGGAAGUCAGCAAUGAAGAUGGAGUUAACAAUGAGGGCGAAAAGAGCAAGAGGUCAGGCUUCUUAAAACUGCUGAACUAUAUCUGCAACAUUUGGAUUGAACGUGUCGGAGCAAAUAAUCUGUCGGUUCACGGAGAGUCUCAUAGGACAACAAAUUUCCUAGAGUCUUAUCAUGGGAAAUUCUCGACUCAUCAUCCCAACUUCUGGCGAUUUAUAGAUAUUCUCAAGGACAUAGAUAAAUCUGCAAAAGAUAACUUCGCUGCCUCCGAACUGGGGAAAAAGGUGCGGAAGGAUCCGGAGAGGGCGUAUGUGAUCAACCGUCUUAACCAGAAGCAGCUAGAGACCAAGUUAGCACUUGGUAAAAUCGAUGUCAUGGUUUUCCUCAAUAGAGGAAAGUACCAAGUGAGGACUUUAUCAAACAAGUUGCUGAAUCGUUACAAGAAAAAAGGGACAGUAAGUAGAAAAUGAUAACGAUUUGGUAAGUAAAAUUCAUACUUUGGUGAGUGUGUUGGGAGGAUGGAAUAUAAGCAUUUACAAUAUUCAUUUUUAAAUUUUUUUGGCUUUGGUGUACAAGAGAACAUCCUGAGAGUAAAAAUUUUUUUAAUGGAAAUGAUAAUACGGUUUUUAUUAUUACUCUUUGUUUACCUAGUGUUUUUCUUUUGCUGUGAGACAGACAUAGUAUUAGGCAAAUUAGGAAACUCAAACUCACAAAUUGAAUUCAUUAACUAAUAAAAUAAAAAUAAUUGAUUUUCUGAUUCUCUCUAUUUUAUUUUCUAUUUAUAUGAACCAUUGCAGAUUGGCUUCCCUGAAGUAGAGCCCAUGGAACCACAAAAAAAUGAAGGAAUAUAUAGGCCUCAUCCACAAGGAACUGAUAGCGCAGGUAUGAUAUUAUGUAGUAGCUAUUACUAAAAUCUCUGUUUCUGUAGAUUCUGUAAGAUUGGAACUAUCCUGUAGUCACACCUAGGCACUCUAAAAAUUUGCAUGUAAAAGCGAUGAUUUUUUUUGAUUCUACCCAAUUUUCACGGUUGUACAUACAAGGUAUUCGCUGUCACAAGAGUGCCUGUAGGUUUCAUAUGGUUUUG